rnacentral:rRNA from 1 species
GCUAGCUACAGGCUUAACACAUGCAAGUCGAGGGGCAGCAUGGUCUUAGCUUGCUAAGGCCGAUGGCGACCGGCGCACGGGUGAGUAACACGUAUCCAACCUGCCGUCUACUCUUGGACAGCCUUCUGAAAGGAAGAUUAAUACAAGAUGGCAUCAUGAGUCCGCAUGUUCACAUGAUUAAAGGUAUUCCGGUAGACGAUGGGGAUGCGUUCCAUUAGAUAGUAGGCGGGGUAACGGCCCACCUAGUCUUCGAUGGAUAGGGGUUCUGAGAGGAAGGUCCCCCACAUUGGAACUGAGACACGGUCCAAACUCCUACGGGAGGCAGCAGUGAGGAAUAUUGGUCAAUGGGCGAGAGCCUGAACCAGCCAAGUAGCGUGAAGGAUGACUGCCCUAUGGGUUGUAAACUUCUUUUAUAAAGGAAUAAAGUCGGGUAUGGAUACCCGUUUGCAUGUACUUUAUGAAUAAGGAUCGGCUAACUCCGUGCCAGCAGCCGCGGUAAUACGGAGGAUCCGAGCGUUAUCCGGAUUUAUUGGGUUUAAAGGGAGCGUAGAUGGAUGUUUAAGUCAGUUGUGAAAGUUUGCGGCUCAACCGUAAAAUUGCAGUUGAUACUGGAUAUCUUGAGUGCAGUUGAGGCAGGCGGAAUUCGUGGUGUAGCGGUGAAAUGCUUAGAUAUCACGAAGAACUCCGAUUGCGAAGGCAGCCUGCUAAGCUGCAACUGACAUUGAGGCUCGAAAGUGUGGGUAUCAAACAGGAUUAGAUACCCUGGUAGUCCACACGGUAAACGAUGAAUACUCGCUGUUUGCGAUAUACUGCAAGCGGCCAAGCGAAAGCGUUAGGUAUUCCACCUGGGGAGUACGCCGGCAACGGUGAAACUCAAAGGAAUUGACGGGGGCCCGCACAAGCGGAGGAACAUGUGGUUUAAUUCGAUGAUACGCGAGGAACCUUACCCGGGCUUAAAUUGCAGAUGAAUUACGGUGAAAGCCGUAAGCCGCAAGGCAUCUGUGAAGGUGCUUCAUGGUUGUCGUCAGCUCGUGCCGUGAGGUGUCGGCUUAAGUGCCAUAACGAGCGCAACCCUUGUUGUCAGUUACUAACAGGUUCCGCUGAGGACUCUGACAAGACUGCCAUCGUAAGAUGUGAGGAAGGUGGGGAUGACGUCAAAUCAGCACGGCCCUUACGUCCGGGGCUACACACGUGUUACAAUGGGGGGUACAGAGGGCCGCUACCACGCGAGUGGAUGCCAAUCCCCAAAACCUCUCUCAGUUCGGACUGGAGUCUGCAACCCGACUCCACGAAGCUGGAUUCGCUAGUAAUCGCGCAUCAGCCACGGCGCGGUGAAUACGUUCCCGGGCCUUGUACACACCGCCCGUCAAGCCAUGGGAGCCGGGGGUACCUGAAGUGCGUAACCGCGAGGAGCGCCCUAGGGUAAAACUGGUGACUGGGG